GACGAACGCUGGCGGCGUGCUUAACACAUGCAAGUCGAACGGAAAGGCCCCUUUGGGGGUCCUCGAGUGGCGAACGGGUGAGUAACACGUGAGUAACCUGCCCUUGACUUCGGGAUAACUUCAGGAAACUGGGGCUAAUACCGGAUAGGAAUCCUUGCUGCAUGGUGGGGGUUGGAAAGCUUCGGCGGUUUUGGAUGGACUCGCGGCUUAUCAGCUUGUUGGUGGGGUAGUGGCUUACCAAGGCUUUGACGGGUAGCCGGCCUGAGAGGGCGACCGGCCACAUUGGGACUGAGGUACGGCCCAGACUCCUACGGGAGGCAGCAGUGGGGAAUAUUGCACAAUGAGCGGAAGCCGGAUGCAGCAGCGCCGCGUGCGGGAUGACGGGCUUGGGGUUGUAAACCGCUUUCAGCAGGGGCGGAGCUUGUAGUGACGGUACCUGCAGAAGAAGCAACGGCUAACUACGUG
rnacentral:rRNA from 1 species